rnacentral:misc_RNA from 1 species
UCCGGUUUGUCACCGGCAGUCUCAUUAGAGUGCCCAACUGAAUGUAGCAACUAAUGACAAGGGUUGCGCUCGUUGCGGGACUUAACCCAACAUCUCCCGACACGAGCUGACGACAGCCAUGCAGCAUCUGCGCACGCUCCCUUGCGGGUCCUUCCCCUUUCGAGGUCGUACCACGUGCAUGUCAAGCCCAGGUAAGGUUCUUCGUGUUGCGUCGAAUUAAACCACACGCUCCGCUGCUUGUGCGGGCCCCCGUCAAUUCCUUUGAGUUUCAGCCUUGCGGCCGUACUCCCCAGGCGGGGUACUUCCUGCGUUAGCGCCGGCACCCAAGGGGUCGCUCCCCCAGGCACCUAGUACCCAUCGUUUACGGCGUGGACUAC